rnacentral:lncRNA from 10 species
CCCUGGAUCAAGUGAUUCUCCUGCCUCAGCCUCCCAAGUAGCUUGGAUUACAGGGACAUGCCACCACGCCCAGCUAAUUUUUUUGUAUUUUUAGUAGAGAUGGGGUUUCACCAUGUUGGUCAGGAUGGUCUCGAUCUCCUGACCUUGUGAUCCACCCGCCUCAGCCUCCCAAAGUGCUGGGAUUACAGGCAUGAGCCACCGCACCCAGCCAUCCUCGUUUUCUAGAUGAGGAAACUGAGGCUCAGCAAAUGACAUUGUUACUGAGACAAAUGUUUGAGCCAGGGAGGUGCUUGGAAAGACUAUGGGGCUCUGAAGAGGGCAAUUAAAUUAAAAUAAAGGGUGAGUUAUUGUGAAUAUAUGAACUACUCUAAAAAGAUGAGAAAUGUCACUCUCCCACUCAAAGUAGGGGAACUGGAUGAGUGCAGGACCCUGAAAUGUGGAAAGGCAUUUAAUGUAGGGAAUGAUGCUUAUAAGAGGGUUUGAAGAGCUAGAGCAGAAGGCAGAGGGCAUCCCCUGUAACUAUUAGCCAAUAACUCCCCACUCUUCCUCUUCCAAGCCACUGGUAGCUUCUAACCUACUUUCUCUCUCUAGAAACUUGCCUAUUCUAAAAAUUUCAUACAAGUGGAAUAAUACAAUCAUACAACAUUUGUCAUUUUGUGCCUGGAUUAUUUCACUUUAUAUAAUAUUUCCAACAUGUUACAUGUUGUAGCAUGCACAGAACUUUCUUUCUUUCCAUGUCUGAAUAAUAUUCCGUUGUAUGGAUAUGCCACAUUUUCUUUAUCAAUUCAUCUGUUGAUAGAUGCUUGGGUUGUUUCCAUCAGAUUGUCUUUUGAUAUGACACAUACUAUCCUCAGAUCUACCUCCCUCCCUUCCUCUUCCCCAAAGCUGCUCAACCAGAGGCUUGGGUAACAAUUGGCCACACCCAACUUAUCUAAGUCUGUUCUGUCCUCCAUUCAGAUGGGAGCCCACCCUUCAAGACGACUAUAUAGAAAAUAAAACUAUUGUCCUGAGAGACCAUCUUUCUUGCUAUUUGGCACCCACUAUAAAUCCUCAUGGGCUAUAUCCUUUUGAGAGACACCAUCAUUUUAAAUUUGAAGAUGUGCUAUUUAUUGUUGUUUUUCAGCUCCAGACUCACCCUUCUAAAUUCUGCUCUAUGCUAUUGGAUUGGAGCAGAGGUUUUACAAACCACAGAGCUGCAUGCAGUGAGCGGUGUUUCCAACAGUUAUAGAUCCUACCUCAUUGUACCACUCCCCCACCUUGAGGACCAGCACUAGCUGGCAGGAGCAUCUUCCUCACAGAACUGAAUUUAAGCCCUACAAGGUCCCUCUUGUUAGCCCAGAAACAUCAUCAGCAGUUGGGCAGGGCCCUGUCCUCUGAGAUCUGAGUUUCUGUUCCUCAGAGUCAUUACAUUAUAUGUUUUAAAAAUAGCUCUUCCCUUUGUUUCUGCCAGCCCUAAGGUGGUGCUGCUUCUUGUAGUUGCUACUUCCAUCUGUGACUUUCCAGUUAACUUUUAAACAAUUUUAUAACUAGUUAACAGCUAUUUGUGUUAAAUUCUCACUUUAAGUCCUCGGUUAUAAGGUGUCUUCUCCCCGUCCUCUCCCAGACCAUACACAAUACAUGGACAUCGCACACAUACUGCAUGUGCAUAUGGAGUAGGAACAUUCCCAAUCAAGAUAGUGAAUAUACUGUGGAGGGCUUUAGAGUGAGGCCAGACCCCAUGGAUCCAGGGACCUUCCCUGAAAAGGACUGAAGCCCACUGUGGUCAUUGAAGAACAGUGGAAAGCUCUGGUGGGAACUGCGCAAGUAGAAGUUCCUCCAGAUCAGGAACCUUUUCUGUCUCUUGACAAGGUAAUAUUGAGGAGUCUAAGAGAGGGUGGUCAAGGUCAGGCAGUCCCAGGUGAUGGAAGAAAGGUGGCUUCUGAGGAAUGGUAUCAGACCUUCAUGUCUCCUUUCUUCUGUGGUGCCCAUAAACAAAGAUUGGCUUAAACAUACCAACUUAGUUCUACUAGGGCAGAUUAGGUGAUGGGUCCUGUACCCAUCUAACAUUAGAUACCAGAAUCAAAUGUUAGAAGGGAGCAGUGACUCCCUCCCCCAGGGGUGAGUGGCAGCUAUAAUUCAUAAGAACUUUCCACUGGGGAAGGUGAAUCGGUCCAAGACUGACUUGCAAUAAGGCUUGGAGCUGAAGACAAGAAACACUGAUGGACAUGAAAACUAUUGGAUAAAAGUUUGAAGAGGGACAAGGUAUUAAAUUCUCUGAAAGUAUUUCUCCACAGAUUAUUUAUUAAUUACAAAGGGAAUUAUAGUAAUCAGGUGAAGAAACUUGGCAGACCCCACCCUAUGGAAGUGAUCAAAGUUGACACCACUCGCAAUGGGACAAACUGACAUCAUUUGGCUCCUGAUAUGAUGCACUGAGAAGGGCACAGCAUUGCUUAUGUAAUACACCUGUCAAAUGCACAAUUAAGCAGCUUGAAUUCACAUUGUGGAAUAGUCUGCAAAGCCACUGGCCGGCACUCUUCAAGAAUGUUAUGACUUGAAAGACAAAGAAAGGCUAAGGAACUUUUCCAGAUUAACAGAGACUAAAGAGACAUGGCAACAAGCUGCAAUACGUGAUCAAGAUUGGAGCCUGGGUCAGGGGAAAAUUGUCCCAAAGGACAUUUUUAGGAUGAUUGGCAAAAAUUAAAUAUGGGCUAUCUAUUAGAUAAUGGUAUUAUAUUAACAUUACAUUUUCUGAGUUUGAUUAAUUGUGCUAUGAUCAGAGACUCUCCAUGCCAUGUUCUUGGGAAACAUACACUAAAGUGUUUGGGGGUAAAGAAAGGGGUUGAGAAUAGCCAGAGCAAGCCUAAGCACAAAAAAAAAAAAAAGCUGGAGGCAUCAUACUACCUGACUUCAAACUAUACUAUAAGCCUAUAGUAACCAGAACAGCAUGAUACUGGCACCAAAAUGGACACAUAGACCAAUGGAAUAAAAUAGAAAACUCAGAAAUAAAGCCACACACUUACAACCAUCUGAUCUUCGAUAAGGCCAACAAAAACAAGCAAUGGUGAAAGGACUUCCU